UGUGAUGCUCAGCCCAAAUGCCUUGACUCCCCUCCCACGUUAACUUUUUGAAGAAAGGAGAUAAGUGCUACUACUUUCCAGUUCUGCUACUCUUAAAUUAGAAUUUGCCAAAUUGUUCAAUACAGCAGUACCUCUGCAACAGGGCUGUAGAAAGCCGUUCCUGUUGUCUACAUCAAAGCGUAGUGGCAGAUUUCCCUUUGGAAGUCAGAGCCUGUUUCAAACGUCUCUUCAAGUCCUGCAUAUUUGGUGACUUGGGUCGCACAAGGUGGAGGCCUCUUCGCUUCUCUCCAUUGCAGCUCCCAAUCAUCCUGCUGACCUCCUGGCAGAGCUGCUGGAAGGCUUCAUGCACUCCUUCACAGUUCUCUCGGGCUGAGACUUCAUAAAGAAUACAGAUCUGCUGGCUGGCUCCAAAAGAGAAGCAACACAAUCAACAGAAACAGAAGUUAAAGUCCUUUUGGGUAACCAGAUAUUGUGCCAGUGCCGAGGAACUCCAGAAGGAUCUCACAAAAGUGAGUGAGUACACAUAAAGUCAGCAGGUGAGCAAGAGUUCCUACAGUCAUCACUGUCAGUUCACACUGUGUGAAACAGCAGCAGAAAGAGCCAGCAAACUGUUUGGUUUCCUUGGAAGGUGAAUGGAGGAGAUGUAGGCUAGGAUUUUGCUGCUUAAAUGAACUCUUGUAGCACGGCCUGCCGCUCUCUGCAUCUCAGAACCAUGGUGGAUGCUGUGAAGGUGCAUGGUAGGGUACCAAAACUGAUCAUGGCUGUGGAGCAGCUGCUGCAUGUGGAGAGGCUGGAGAAGCUGUUUACCAUGUGCCUGUAUGGAUGGAUGCUGGUGCUGACACAAGAAGGGAGAUGUGUGGGGGCAGGAAUGAAAGACCAAUGGUGGAGGAAAUGUUGAACUGCUUCUUUGGGCAGCUGUGAUGGCAUCUGGUUGCUUAAGACAAAUGGGAAAGCAGUUUUAGACUGCACCCUGGAUGCAGACCAAUCCAUUUCCAGUUCUUUUACUAAUAUGGUUCAAUCUAAAUUCCUUAUGCCCUAACCCAGGGUUAGCUUGUUCCUACUGUGAGCAGUAAGCUCUGUCCAGGAAGAAGGGGGUUUAGUGACACUAAAAAAAGCAGCAUAUUCUCCAAAAUCUUAAAUCUGUUCUCAAGCUCUUCCAUCCCAAAUCAUAACUUUUAGUCUCUAAGCCUGAAAGAGUCAGAGUAAGAUACAGAAUCAAAGCCAGAGGUUUUCCUUAUCUGAUUCUCUAGGCUGUCAAAACAGGCUUAGCACUGAGUGAAACCACUCGGAAGGAUUCACCCUCUUUGAGAUUGUAUAACCCUUGGCAUGUAGAGAAGAGCUGUUUUGAGAAGAGAUCUUCAUUGUUUGUGCACAAUGGACUUAUAUUUAGCUAAGAAACCCAUGUUUUAAAUUUGAAUUGUCUUGGAGAAACAAUAGCUUAAAUUAGAGGGACUGUGUUUGCAAAACUCUGAGCAACUUUGAAAACAUUUGGCAGAUUCUGGACAUUUCACUGCCCACUCCUUGGGUUGCUCCAUGCACAGAUCUGCCCCUUUGCAUGUUGCACAGAGAUGAUGCUAUUUCCACACCAGAUUUUGCACAGAUUUCUUUACUGGCUGUGUUGCUUUUGGCUAUGGCUUUGAUAAGAUUUGCUAUUUUUGUUGUUGUUGGCAGCCCUACACAUCUUCAGAGAUGGAGCUUUCUAAAAAUAGAAAUAUUUGCUAUUACCAUAGUGCUUUUCAUAUAAGGAUGUCAAAUUGCCUUUAAAACUGGAUAUGAUUGUUCCUCAUCCACUUCACACAAGGAGCAACAGAUGAACAACCUUGCUAAGAUGCCAGUGUGUUGGGAAAUGGUGAUUCCCUUCUGCCUAGGGGAAAGAGUGGUGGCAAAACUCCCACUUCUCACUGGUAAAAGUGUUCUUUCCUCUAAAAGGCUAUUUGUACCAGUGAUACUUGCCUUGAGUACCUCUCAGAUGUUUCUGUAGAGCAAAGUGAGGUUGUGGUGCCAUGGCUGGAGCACUACAGCUCGUUUCUGAGCAGAAGCACUAAAUGUGGUGCUGGGGAAACGCCAGUUGCUUUGGCAGAUGCUGUGAUUAAACCCAUACUUGGUGGCUCAUGCACACAUCCCUGCUCCUGAUUAUCUUCCCAGCACCAGCAGACUGAUCUUUGAGGCUUUGUCUGA